rnacentral:misc_RNA from 1 species
GUGCAGUCCAACGAAGAAUAAGCUAGUGUUAAGUGCCAAUGGUCCAAGUCAGGUGGGCCAUCUUGUGAACGAGUUAAGUUUACCUAGAGGCAUUGAUCUACAUCGUUAACGUAGCAUUCUCCAGCGACAAGAUUUCAAGAGCGGCUGACAAUUUGAUCAAAACUUGUUUCCUACUCCAUCCCGAUGUACAGGAUCAAGUGCUUACAGAAGAACUAAUCGCUUUGUCCAAAUUUAUGACGGAUCUAUUUCCCGAAAUAACCAUGGCAGGAUGGUUUACUAUGAACAAGAAGUUCAUAUUGGUUUUAAUAUCUAGUUUAACCUCGUAUGUUAUUAUCAUAAUACAAUUUCAAUUAGGCUAAAGAGACAUUAAAUUAGUAGAUAACACGUAACUUGUAAUUUAUAAAAUUAAUAAAUAAAUGGAUUUUGUGUCA